rnacentral:lncRNA from 1 species
AUGUUCCCUGAGCCACACUCUGUGGGCAUUACCGAGACAGGUCCCUCCAUCUACCAGCGCCGACGGCUGAAAAGCACAGAGGAUACCAGAAAAACAGCCUUUCCUUCAUUUCCCAAAUACUAUGUUGAUGCCCUUCCUUAGAAGUCUUCCUCUUAAUUAAGUUGGCCCGAAGGUCAUAAACCGUAAUCAAUAUGGAGGCUGGUCGCUGCAAGGUGCUAAUUGACAUCCCCAAAGAGGAACCGUGUCAACAAUCGAUACAGAAGAACAGAGUACUGCUAGAUUUAUGGCUUUGAUUUUGAAAAGGUAUGGGAAUGCCCUGUGAUGUUCCCCCCCCCCCCCCCGUACUCCUUUUGAAUGUUAAUGCUUUCUUGAAGAUGAUUUCAGACACACUGCUAGGAUACUGCCUCUACUCACUGAAGCAGAAUCCUCUGAAGAGUUGCUGAGGCAGAACUGAAAUCAUGGCUCGCCACAAAGAAGCAGCCGUAUUGGCCGCUAAUGAUGCCUCACACAGAAAGGCGAUGCUCCUUUAACUCGGGGGUUUUAAUGGGAAGUUUCUAAGCCUGAAACAACAGCUUUAGAUCUGGGGUGUGCCAUCAGCUGCUAGCAGCUACCACUGUCUACUGCUUCAACACAGCUUGAUCGGGAAGAAUGGGAACUAAAGAGGCUUGUAACUACCUGUAACUGUUCCACCAGGAAAUGGAUCAAGUGUUUGUUCAGCCAGACCCAGGUACUUGACCAACACUGUGUCUUUGAUGGGCUAAUUAAUGCUUUUCUCUAACUUUACGAUUCAUGCAUGAGCAAUGAUCACAUAGAUGCUUUUGGAUCCAAGUUCUGAAUUUAGAUCUAGAUGUCAGAUAAAGUCUAAUUAAACAGUUGCCGGGUAAAGUUAAUACGAGGGGGGUGAAAUGUAAUGGUGCCUUUAUUUUUAAAGCAUGCUUAAGUUUAUGCUACUGAUACUGGAUAAAAGAGUAGUAAAAUAGGCUCUUUUCUUUGCUAAGCUGCAGUAAAUUAUUCUCGAAAGCUAUUUGUCCAUUAUAGUAUUUUUUUUUCCAUUCACCUAAAACGUCCAACCUCCCAAAAUGUAACAGGGAUGUUUUAAUUUGUUCACAAAGAAUCACAACUCAACAACUCAUAAUGAUGA